GUCCUUUUGUAUUUAAUUUAAGGUCUGACCUGCCCAGUGAUAAUUUUAACGGCCGCGGUAUCUUGACCGUGCAAAGGUAGCAUAAUCAUUAGUCUUUUAAUAGAGGGCUGGAAUGAAAGGUUUGACGAGGAAUAAGCUGUCUCAUUUUAUUUGUUUUAAAAUUUAAUUUUUUAGUUAAAAAGCUAAAAUGUUGUUGGAAGACGAGAAGACCCUAUAGAUCUUUAUAAUAUUUUGUUUAAUUAUUUUAUAUUAAUACUUUUAUUUGAAAUUUUAUUUUGUUGGGGUGACAAAAAUAUAUAACUAACUUUUUUAUUUAUUAGACAUUGAUUAAUGAUUAUUUGAUCCAUUAUUAGUGAUUAUUAGAAUAAGUUACCUUAGGGAUAACAGCGUAAUCCUCCUUUGAAGUUCAUAUUUACAGGAUGGGCUUGCGACCUCGAUGUUGGAUUAAGAUUAUAAUUAGGUGUAGCCGCUUAAUAUAUAGGUCUGUUCGACCUUUAAAUUCUU
rnacentral:rRNA from 1 species